UUACGGUCAGAUCACAUUGAAACAUUGAUUCCCGUACGAUCACUGAAGUUAAGCAACGUCGAGCCUCGUCAGUAUCUAGAUGAGUGAUCGCUUGGGAAUAUCAGGUGCCGUAAG